CCUAUUAUUAUGACCCGACUUUAUUUUCUCUUUUCCAAAACCCUAGAGAGCCUCCAUCUCCAUUCCAGCAACUGAUUAUUUGUUACAUCCAAUCUAUUACAAUCUCAAACCCUAAAUCUCAGUCGCUUAUGACUUUGAAGAUUUCAAGCUGGGCGAUUUCAUAUAUUGAUUUCAUAUGGAUCGUGACCAUUUCUUUUGGAUCGUCGGACGACGGCUCGGGCGAUUCCUGAGGCUGAAGACAACAACGGCAAGAGGCACUCUGGCGACGCGAUUAGGGUUUCGCUGUGAACCCUAACAACAGUGGCAGCGACGCAUUUUAUUCUUGAAGAUUUGAUUUUUUCCAAUGUAUCAAACCGUUUGUGUUCUUCUAAUCCGUCUCUUGCUCUAAUGGUUUAUUUGUUUUUUUUUUUUUAUUUUCUUAAGGUGCAGUCCAAGUUAAGUUUGUGAAAAUUUAGUCAUAAAAUUAAGCAUCAAUUUUGUUAUUAGAGAAGGUAUGUAUUUCGUCUUCAAUUUCGUUUGUAGUCUCUGAAGUUGUAUUGGUGUAAAUAUAUGUAAAUUAUAACUUUACAUAUGAUUUUCACUAUGUGUGAAUUAACAUCAAAAUCUUUGUCUGCCAAUCUCAUACUGCUGUUCUACACAGAACUUAGUCGUCAACAACAUUUCGUUUACCAGGUUAUGCCCCGGCGAUGUCUUAAUUAUUACACAUCCUAUUUUGGUUAUAUUCUUGCCGGCAUACUUCAUAUAUCAGGUACAGAGGAAGUGUCGAACUGAACGAUUGAGAAAACUAAGCCGAGUCUGGUAAAGCGGAUUGCGUAUGCUCAUCGAGUUGUCGCUGAAUCAGACAAAGAUAUUAUUCAAUAUGAGUUGCUUGGUGCUAAGAUACGUGGCACUGGUUUUGCAAGAGCUGAGUUGCUAUAAAAUCAAAGAAUGGUUCAUGUUUGCUGAGGGAACUAAUUGACAACAAGUAUUAUGCCACCGUAAGAAAGGUGGGUACUUUUCACAUGAGCGAGGUUCCAGCCAAGAACGCGGGUAGGCUGGCGAUGGUCCCCAUGAGGAAGUCAAAGGGGACUAGGCGGCACAACGCUAGAUACUAUUGUCCUCUUAAUCAGUGAUACACUUGUGUAAGUGUUUAUGCAUGUUGUUCAAUCGUAUUCAUCAGGUAAUAGUAUGAUUUUAAUCAUUUUUUUGUUAUAUCAAUCGAAUAUUCAUCAAUGGCAGCCACGGCUCAUCAACAAAACCCUAAAUUGAUUUAUACACAGUGCUUCCUUUUGACCCUAUUCAAUCGUAUUCAUCAAGUAAUAAUAUGAUUUUAAUCACUUUUUUGUUAAAUCAAUCGUUUAUUAUACUUUUUUUUCAAUGAUUUCAUUAAUUUUAUGUAAAAUCUUUUAUAUAUUUAAUCAAUUUUACAUCUUAACUUGGUAAAUCUUAGAUGUGUUUCGUCGAUUUUGUGUUACAUCUUAACUUGGUAAAUCUUAGAAGACCAAGUUGAGUCUGAAGUAGCGAUUAUAAAGGCCCGAUGCAGUGCCGCUGAGGCCAGGAGGUUGGCUGCUACACGUGAACAAAUCAUAUCUGCUCAAUAAGAUGCUGAUGAGUGGAAACAAAAAUAUGAUGUUGCUAUGACAUGCUAAUGUUAUAAUAUGUUUUUGUUUACGAAGGGUCACAAAGGUUGCCGACUUCUUUGCCGAAAGAGGAGCGGUUGCUGACCGAAGUUGUCGGUUGCGGUGACAUGAUGGUAGGGAUGCUUUAGACGCCAUCAUCAGAGACAACUUCCUGUUACAAACAAUAGGUAUGAGAGCACAUGAAUUAGACCAGAAUAUCUCAAGAUGUUCAAAGGAAAAUUCAAAUUUUUUAUGCAAUGAAAAACCGAUAUGGAAGAUCCGACAAGAGCUAGGAAGGGAUUCUUGUAGGACAUGGUCUGGAUCAUGACAUGAAAUGCUUGGGACUAGAGUACCUUCUUGUAAAA